UACGUAGGGGGCAAGCGUUGUCCGGAAUCAUUGGGCGUAAAGAGCGCGUAGGCGGCCCAGUAAGUCCGCUCUGAAAGUCAGGGGCUCAACCCCUGGAUGCGGGUGGAUACUGCUGGGCUAGAGUCCGGAAGAGGUGAGUGGAAUUCCUGGUGUAGCGGUGAAAUGCGCAGAUAUCAGGAGGAACACCGAUGGCGAAGGCGGCCUUCUGGACAGUGACUGACGCUGAGACGCGAAAGCGUGGGGAGCAAACAGG
rnacentral:rRNA from 1 species